CAGCCCUAAACGAUGCGCGUUAGGUGUAUCGGUGACCACGAGUCACCGAGGUGCCGAAGGGAAACCGUGAAACGUGCCGCCUGGGAAGUACGGUCGCAAGGCUGAAACUUAAAGGAGUUGGCGGGGGAGCACCACAACGGGUGGAGCCUGCGGUUUAAUUGGACUCAACGCCGGGAAGCUCACCGGAUAAGACAGCGGAAUGAUUGCCGGGCUGAAGACCCUGCAUGACCAGCUGAGAGGUGGUGCAUGGCGUGUGACUGU
rnacentral:rRNA from 1 species